GAGUGGUGGAAUAGAAUCAAAUUGUGUGAUUGUCCUUAAAAAAAACACUUUAUGCAGUUUAAACAAAUUCAGUUUCAGCGACUAUGGCCUUUAGCUUUUUGGGGGAGGUUACGGUUGAUCGAGGAUCGCGGGUUUUUAAGUGGAACAAGAAUUUGUUGUCAAGAACCCGGGUGAUCACCCAUCUGGGAACCAGCGACGCCACGGAAGGGGCUGGACCACAGAACACAUUACUGGCUGUGGCUAACCACUCCGCCACACCGAGCUCCAAUUAUAUUUAUUUAUUUUUUAAUUUAUUAUAUAUUUUAUGCAUACCUAGGUAAUUCAUAUUUUCUAACAAUAAUUUUCAUUUUUAUUGUAUUACCUUUUAUAUAUUUAUUUAUAAUUAUUCUUACACCAAAUCUUUUAUCGUAGACACUGUAAGACGGACCUAUGUAUGUAUAUGACUUGAAUAUUAUGUACCUAAUUUUACUUUUAAAGUUAAUUAAAAUAGUAAAAACUCUUACGCAUCUCAACUAAAUUAACUUCACCGUAUACACUUACUUGUAAAAUGCCUGUAUGAAAUACGUAUGUAUAUUAUGUAUUAUUAAUUAUUAUCUAUUACAUAAUAUAAUAUGCAUUCGUUUAACAUAGUUCUGGGUUAAAACAUAGCAAUAGGGUUAUCUGACUGGUUUUAGUCAAAUGACAGUUUUUUAAUUAAUGACUUGUGAAAAAAUACAUGCACUUUCUUCUUCUUUUUUUUUUAACUAAAAAACGCAUAUUUAUUAACAUGUGUGUCACUGACUCAGUGUAUAUUAUACAUAUUAGGUACCUAUAUAAUAUAUGUUAUUGUUACACGCCAUUACAGUUAAAAAAUAUAUAUUAUAAUAACAUCCUAGUAUUAAUUUAGGCUGCAAACUAAUAGCAAAAGUCUUGCAAAAGAGAAAUCUAAAUUAUUCUUAAAUUAAAUAUGUUUCUUAUAAAAUAUACAUAGUCAUCAUGUA